rnacentral:lncRNA from 1 species
ACUGCACUUGGCUGGUAGCCUGGCUCCCCAUCUGAUGGGAGAUGGCGGUGUUGGAGAGACAAGAUGAUAGUCAUUUUGGUUGCAUAAUGAUGUAAAAAGUAGGCCCUUCCUCUAUCUGUUGCUGCUCAUUACCACUGGAUCAGAAGACGGACACCUGAUCCUCGUGUAGGGAGUGCUGGAGUGACCUGCAAAAGAAGUUUGGACAGAAAGUUUUCACUCCUGUGAAGAUCCUUCGAUGCUCAAGUCAAAUUUAGAAAAUAAAGAGAGUAGCCACAAGUUCUCUGAGAGGAAUGGCUUCACUUACCUUGGUCCUUGAGGCUUUGGUGAGUUAUA